rnacentral:rRNA from 1 species
CCUACGGGUGGCAGCAGUGGGGAAUAUUGGACAAUGGGCGAAAGCCUGAUCCAGCCAUGCCGCGUGUGUGAAGAAGGCCUUAGGGUUGUAAAGCACUUUCAGUGGGGAAGAAAGCCUUGGGGCUAAUACCCUCGAGGAAGGACAUCACCCACAGAAGAAGCACCGGCUAACUCCGUGCCAGCAGCCGCGGUAAUACGGAGGGUGCGAGCGUUAAUCGGAAUUACUGGGCGUAAAGCGCGCGUAGGCGGUCUGAUAAGCCGGUUGUGAAAGCCCCGGGCUCAACCUGGGAACGGCAUCCGGAACUGUCAGGCUAGAGUGCAGGAGAGGAAGGUAGAAUUCCCGGUGUAGCAGUGAAAUGCGUAGAGAUCGGGAGGAAUACCAGUGGCGAAGGCGGCCUUCUGGACUGACACUGACGCUGAUGUGCGAAAGCGUGGGUAGCAAACAGGAUUAGAUACCCCUGUAGUC